UUCUACAAUUUUUUUUUGCAUGAUUGGUCCUUCAACUCAUAUGCUCUUUUUUAAAUUUUAUUUUAGAGAGAAUAAAACCAAGCAAAAUAAAACAGAAUGAAGCCAAUCAUAACAAGCCACUGUGAGUGAGACAGGACUUCAAAAAAGAAUACUUGCUGUUCUACAGAGCAACAGAGAUCCAGUCCAAAGGUGAACUUUGGAAACGCUGAAUUUCAGAGUGAUUGACAGCUGGCUUCUUGACCUCUAUCCAGAAGGGAUUGGAUUUGGAGCAGUGAGGAAGAGAAAUUGUUGGAGAAUGAGGAGCAUAGAGACAAAGAAAGAAAAAACAAAACAUGAUGUGAUCUGGUGUGCAGCUAAGUCUCUAGCUGACAUGAACAGCUUCCCCUCAGCCAUGCCACCCUGCCUUGAAGCUAGCUGAGUACGGACUGAAACAUCCAAAAUGCACCCUCUGAUGACACUGGGCCGACCUGGAUGCUCCAAGAUCAUGAUUCCACCUUGAAGUUUCUCAUCUAACCUGUAAAUUUCACUUUGUUAUAUAAGACCACGUACUUGUACAUUCUGGGGGUUACAACAGGGACGUGUUCGGGCCAUUAUUUUGCCUUGUAUGUCUACAACCUAGAAAGUUGAUUUCUGGGCAUAUGUGGCAUAUAUUCCUGAGAGCUAACUCUGAGUGAGUCAUAAAGCAUGUUUCUGCAGUGACCUGGCAGCUGUGUGGAUGCUCCACAUGGAGACAAUGGAAAAGGAACGGCAUGGAGAAUGCACAGCCCGGGAUAUUGUGCAAGAGUUAGGAGUAACAGUCUUGCUGUUCCUACACUGACAUGGAUUUCUCCUUUUAAAAAAGUGCUUAGUGAAGGAAAGUAAAAAAUAAAACAAACUGUGUAACACCGGAUCAUUUACAACAAAUUAAAAACUAAAUACAUAAAAUGACAAUUUGCAUUUUACAUGAAUACUGUUCUAGCAAAAAGAAUUUUUUUUUGCACAUUCUGGGAAUAGCAGCCAAUGGGAUUUAAGAAGAUAACAUAGUAGGAAAGAAGAAUUAAGGUGGAUAAAAUAAAAUUCUUGUUCAAAUUCUAAGCCCUCAGAGAAACCAUCCCUGACCCACCACGGCUCCAGGUAGCUGGCAGAGAUUUUAAACAAUCUUCACACACUGUUUGUACUGGUCAGCUUGCACCUCCCAUUUUACUACAAGCUCCUUGAGAGCAGGUGCUACGUCUUGUUUUCCUUUAUAUCUCUGAAGCAAGGCACAAAGCCUGCCUCACAGUGGUUGUCUAAUGUGUGCUGUGUUAAGCCAAACGGAGAACAGUGCAGAAACAAGACAUCUGGAGCGAGAUGCUCACAUGCGCUGACACUUAGGAAAGUUCCUAAGGACACCCAAAUGGGCUUUAAAGCUAUGUUUGGAACAGAAAGUUACAUCAGAAAGCCUGCUUCGUGCAGGUAAGCACAGACAAGGAUAUCGAAGAGAAGGUAAACCCCUGAUCUUCUGCUUUGCCUUCAGUUCUCAAGAUGAAAUGUGCCAAGCAAAAUGAGCAUCAGCUUGGAAAAGCAGAGUGAUAGAAAAGAAGCCCCAAGGUGGGCGAAGAGAUUGCAGGACAGUACCGAGUCUCUCUAAAUAAAUUCAGUCCAGAAGUGUGGGAGGGAUGCCGCAACCUGAAUCAGAAAAGUUAUUUCCAAAUACUUCAAAAGGCGGCAGAGGAUUCUGAGAUUCUAUAAUGAGGCUGACAUUGUUCUGGGUCAAGACUCCAGACUGAUCAUUAAAGCAAUGGUUUUGAACACUUAUAAAGAAAAUAAAAUGGUGAUCUGAAGAAGCCUGCGAGGGUUCAUUAAAAUCAGGUUGUGCCUGAGUGACCUGGCUUCCUUCGAGGACAUCAAAUGGUAAAAAGACAGGCCUGUGGAAGAUAUUUUAUGUGAGUUUUUAAAAAAGAGUUUGAUAAGCUCUCCCUCAGUGGUUUUAAAGACAUGGCAGAUGCUUGCCUUGGCAAUGCUCACACUCAAAUGGCAUUGGUUCAUGGAAUGGUGCCA